AGGAGAGUUUGAUCCUGGCUUAGGAUUAGAUACCCUGGUAGUCCAGAAUUCGGCUUAGAGUUUGAUCCUGGCUCAGAACGAACGCUGGCGGCGCGUCUUAAGCAUGCAAGUCGAGCGGUAAGAUUGGUGCUUGCACUAAUCCUAGAGCGGCGGACUGGUGAGUAACGCGUGGGUGACGUACCUCUGUGACGGGGACAGCUCCUAGAAAUAGGAGAUAAUACCGGAUACGCUGUGUGCUGUCAGAGGGCACACAGGAAAGGAUCUUUUGAUUCGCACAGAGAGCGGCCCGCGUACUAUUAGCUAGUUGGUGAGGUAACGGCCCACCAAGGCGACGAUAGUUACCCGGCCUAAGAGGGUGAUCGGGCACAUUGGGACUGAGAUACGGCCCAGACUCCUACGGGAGGCAGCAGCUAAGAAUAUUCCGCAAUGGACGAAAGUCUGACGGAGCGACGCCGCGUGGAUGAUGAAGGCCGGAAGGUUGUAAAAUCCUUUUAUGACUGAGGAAUAAGGUGGAUGAGAGAAACGUCCGCUGGUGACUGUAGGUCAUGAAUAAGCAACGGCUAAUUACGUGCCAGCAGCCGCGGUAACACGUAAGUUGCGAGCGUUGUUCGGAAUUAUUGGGCGUAAAGGGCAUGUAGGCGGUUCUGCAAGUCUGGUGUGAAAUGCCGGGGCUCAACCCCGGAACUGCGUUGGAAACUGCGGAACUGGAGUCGCUGAGGGGCAGCCAGAAUUCCAGGUGUAGGGGUGAAAUCUGUAGAUAUCUGGAAGAAUACCAAUGGCGAAGGCAGGCUGCCAGCAGAUGACUGACGCUGAGGUGCGAAGGUGCGGGGAGCAAACAGGAUUAGAUACCCUGGUAGUCCCCU
rnacentral:rRNA from 1 species